rnacentral:rRNA from 1 species
UACGAAGGGGGCUAGCGUUAUUCGGAAUUACUGGGCGUAAAGGGUGCGUAGGCGGUACUUUAAGUAAGGUGUUAAAUACAUGGGCUCAACCCAUAGUGUGCAUUUUAUACUGGAGUACUUGAGUUUGGAAGAGGAAAGUAGAAUUUCUAGUGGAGAGGUAAAAUUCUUAGAUAUUAGAAGGAAUACCGAUGGCGAAGGCAACUUUCUGGUACAGUACUGACGCUGAGGCACGAAAGCGUGGGGAGCAAACAGG